rnacentral:tRNA from 1 species
GGGGAUGUGGCUCAGCGGUAGAGCACUCACCUUGCACGUGUGUGGCCCUUGGUUCAAUCCUCAGCACCA